rnacentral:rRNA from 1 species
UAAGGAAUAUUGCUCAAUGGGAGAAAUCCUGAAGCAGCAACGCCGCGUGGAUGAUGAAGGGUCUAUGACUUGUAAACUCCUGUAAAGAAGGAAAAAAUUCCCAUUUGAUGGGAGAUGAUGGUACUUCUGGAGUAAGCCCCGGCUAACUACGUGCCAGCAGCCGCGGUAAUACGUAGGGGGCAAGCGUUGUCCGGAUUUACUGGGUGUAAAGGGUGCUCAGGCGGAUUUGUAAGUUAGAGGUGAAAUCUUACAGCUUAACUGUGAAACUGCCUCUGAUACUGCAAGCCUAGAGUAUGGAAGAGAGUGAUGGAAUAUCUGGUGUAGCAGUGAAAUGCGUAGAUAUCAGAUAGAACACCAAUGGCGAAGGCAGUCACUUGGUCCAUUACUGACGCUAAAGCACGAAAGCGUGGGUAGCAAACA